AUUGUCAAGCUGGGGAGCGGCAAUCAAGAUAUUACAUCUGAUUCAGAAGAGUAUCCUAUUUUGUUAUGCUGUGGGUUUAUCCCUCUCCAUUGGAGCAAUUCAAACCCAGAGCCAGCGGUGAUAGGGCUCUGGUCCAUGUGAGUUGACCCCCAGAUACACUUUAAUUUUGCAUACCCUGUAUGUACAGACAGUCUGCACUAUAUACUGUAUAUUUUUCAGAGUACGCAGAGAAGACCCUGAC